GAGAGAAAACCCUUCCACUCUGGAAACUGAGAGCAGGCAAAUAUCCUCCCUGCUGAAUUGCUGUUAUUAAAUAGGGGGAAACCACCCCGCAACGAGCGCGCUCCGGAGCGCGUGGUGCCUCCGAGUGCCGCGGCGCGUUGCGGGGCCGGGAGACCUGCGGGCGGGCGGGGGCCGCAGCCCCGCGGCGUUCACCUCGGCCCCGGCCCCGCCGCCACCCAGCUACCCGUAGCAUCGUGUCAAGGCCAGGGGGCAGCUGGUGCUGCCCAGACACGAGGCCCUUCUGAGCUCUCACCUGACGCCCAUACGUCCGACAUCCCUCUGCUCCCUCCUUGCCGCAGCCCGCGGGCCUAUCUCACACGGAGCAGUCCAGCUGGUGCUGCCCCAAACCGAAGGAGAUGGCGUCUUCUCCUAGCUUGCUUACACGGAGCCACAGGAGCAGUGCCACGGAACACAACCACAUUACAUCGGGGGAGGCAACCUAAUGGCCAAGUGGGGCUUCAGUCAGGGUGUACACAUUUCACCACGUGCAGACAAACUUGUGUAGUGUAUUAAAGUCUAUGGCCAUUUUAAUCUCUUAUGGGGGGGGGGGGAAGCAAGGUUCAUGUGAAUUCUUUAAUUAGACAUGAAAUUGCCAUGCAAAGACACUAAGGAAGUAUGUGGUUAUGCAACUGGAGCCCUAGAGGAAAAAGUAAACAAUUUUACUGAGAAAAACAGAUUGAAAACAAUGAUGACAUUAAGAGGGAAAUGGCUGGAGGUUUGGGCUCUCUGUUUUUUUCCCCUUCCCUUUUGAAGCCUAAGAACAUCUGCAGGUCAUCUUCAACUUGGUCCCUCUUUGGUGUUGCUCAGUAUAUACUGCUUCAGUACCGUGGUCAUUCUUGACUGGAACUUGGUACACAGCUCUGUACAGGAGCUCCAGCAUUAGGAGCCGUAGCAUCAGCACUUUUCUCGGUCACUAAGGGAAUGCAUCUCAUCUGAGCCAAGCCCUUUUUUAUGCCAAAAUUUUGCAAGUUAUUUAACAUGCCUAGAAGCCCCAAACCCACCAUGGUGUGCUGCUGAAAGGCAGCUGGCAUAACCAAGCGCCUGGCCUUGCACAUACCAUGGCUCUGGGACCACCACCGGGCAGCUUGGUUCCCAGGGCUGCGCUUGGCGUGGGGUGUCCUUUGUGUAGCACCAGGCUCUGGCUUACAGCAUCGUGCCCAGCCCUCCCUGGCAUACCCUGCUAGGUUAAGCAAGGCGACUUGGCUAGUUUGGCAAAGGGAAUAAAGCCCUUAAAAAUGUGAUGUGGUGAGAUAGCAUUAAAAUCCAGGAUGUGUGCCUUCAAGAGUCAAGGACAUAGCUUAAAACAAAACAAAACAAAAUUAAAAAAAAAAAAAAGCGAGAAGAAUAGGAAGAGAAGGCACACCAUGUGAUUGUAAGUUACUGAGAAGGAACUUCACAUGUGAGCUGAGGAAAUGCAGCAUUGUAAACGUGCUAUUUAUAUAGUGCUGAAAGUGUACUUUUACAGGGACAUAAACACUCUUCACUCCAGUGCAUAUAAUCUGCCCUUCUGAAGCAGAUCAAGACAGUGCCCUGUUAGAGCCGAUUCAAUCUAAGGUCAAAAACCAAAUAAAUCUCAACUUUGAGAAACUUCAAACCAAAAUUUGGUCUGGGCCGAAGUCAUUCGACUGGACCAAGCCUUUCCCAUAACAAAAAUGAUCCUCCGAAUACUGAAGGUAAGAUCUGUAAGUAGGGACUGUGACCACUUCUGUUGUUGUUAAACUUUUUUUUUUUUUUUUUUUUUUUUUUUUUUUAAGCUGUAUCAUACAGAUUCGGGAGGAAAAAGUGAAAAAGAAUACAAAACUUUAUACAAGCUUUAACUUCAGGGAAGGUACUCAGGCAGAAUAUAAUUAGCAAAGCACUUUGGCUGUCUUCCAGCUGCACGCAACACCAUACUCUUGUAAAAGAGCACCCAAGGAUUUUGAAUGACCACAAAUAAUGCAAUCAUGUUAACCUUAUGUAAAACCAGACAUGCACUUAACUACCCUGAAAUCAUUUCAUUCACUAUGUUAGCAGAGCUGUCCAUGAUGUGGAUAUCAGACAGAUAGCAGUAUUUAUUCUAUCAUUUGACUCUCUCCUGCUUGAUUUUUUGCAAUAAAUAGGUCUUUUUUUUUUUUUUUUAGCCUGAACUGAAUUUUAAUUGCAAAAGAUCAUGAGAUUUAAAGAACAACAAAUGCAGCCAUUUGUAGAGCAUGCAUGCUGAGGUCCAAGAUCUACUUCUGUUUCUCCCCUUGUCUUCAGCUCUUACAUGACCCAAUCAUGAAGAAAAGAUGUCAAAUGCCACCAGCACCAGCUGGAGAGCAUCUUGGUUGAACCCUGGUCUGAGUUUAUGUGAGAGGUAGCCCCAAGCCAGCCCACCAGCAUGGAAAUAGACCAGCAAGUAAAAUGUUACUGUGAGGAGAGCGAGGACUGCUUCAAAUCAGACAGAGCUUGCCAGAACAUAAUGGUGGCUUGUAACACAGCUAAUCAUGCCGAAUAAAACAGAGCCUUAAAUACAUUCAGGACUAGAUUCUCAAUGGACCCUUCCAUUUAGCAUGUGGCAUCAAUUUUUUUUUUCCCUAACCAACUGUAUUUGGUACCACAAGGGAUGGUUAAUACAAUUUCAAAAAAAAAAAAAAAUUCAAAAAAUAUGAAUAAAUAACCAUAAGUUGUUUACACAAAUAAACAUUCCAGGACGUGGGAUUUUAUUCAGUAAUUGCCAUAUUGGUCAUAAAACAUGCCUGAAAACCCAAAGUACUACUUUAUUGCAUUUAGCAGCAACAAUUAGCCUCUCAAUUUUUCACUGUUUUAACAGACAUGAUGGCUUUCUACUGUGAGAAUAGGCUAAAAAAAUAAGCAACGAACAAACACAACCAAAAAGCAGGCUCUUCUGUACAACCAUACGCUCCAUAGGCUUACACGCAAAAAGCCUGAGCUGUGUUUCAUGAGGCAAAAGAAACAAACGGGCGGCAGACCAUUUUCCUUCCUACAUGAGGCACUAUCUAGAGGAGAGGGAGCAGCGAGGAGUUUUGUUGCAAGGCUCUCUCAGAUGUACCACAGGCAAUUCCUUGCUGCUGAGGACCAGAAUAAGGGCAAAAGUGGAAACAAUAGGAAAAGGUACAGUCCUUAAUGCAUCACUUGCUCUAUUCCAUUGUCCACGAAACAACAGAAGUGAUGGUUGGACGUGAUGACCUUAGAAAUCUUCUCCAACUUUAAUGAUCCUAUGAAUUUUUACACUGAACCAUUUCUGUAAAACAGAGAGCAUAAGUUUUGCAAGAGGGGGGUGUUUGUGAGCUGGAACAUUUUUUCUUUGCAGAAGAUUAAUCAAGAUAAAUAAGUCAUUUGGAAACGCUUGUAGUAGAUAUUCAGGUAGACACCUGAAGCCACCACAAGGCACAAAGUCACAUCAAGAGGACUCACUUUAUGUAGACUCUUGCAGGUUCAAGACAAGAGAAGUACAGCUGUGACAGAAACUGGGGGAUUCCACUCAGGUGAACUGCAGAUGUGAGCAAAGAUACACAUAACUGAUGCAGCACAGUUACCUCGCAAUUUGGAUAAUUAACCCAUGGGUAAUCAAGUAUUGAUGGCAUUGCACUAACUGCAGAAACUAUGUCCUAGAAACAUUACUGGGAAUAUCCAUCCUGUGUUUUCACCUCCUAGAAGUCCGAUUUGGACAGCUGACUGACCUACUUCCAGCAUGUCACUGUUCCCAGCACACCAACCCCUAUCCCUAAACACAUGGUUGCUUCCAGCAAGGGAGAGAAAAGGAGGACUGGGCUACAGAUGUUCCUCGCGCAUACAAUCAACACGGCCCUCCCCCACCAAAGUUUAAUAAGGAUUGUUAGUACAUCAUUGUAGCUGGUAAUUGUGUAGGUACACAUGGUAAUUGCAUGUAUUUGCACUAAUUAUGUAAAUGCACAAUAAUUAAAGCUCCAGGGUUUUCAUGGUAAAUUUUUAAAACACUCAUGGAUUUGUCAUGGCAAAAGUGUCAGUCAUGUAACCUAGUGGGGAAGAAAAGGAGGAGGAGGCUCAGGAGUGCACACUUCUUAAAUAAAAACAGACAUUUUUGCAUGAGUAACUGGAGAGGGGAUACCAUUUUAUCAUCAAACAGAACUGUCAUGCCUGGGUACAACUUCUUUCAGACUCUCUUAUCAGUUAGAAUAAUAAUAAUUAAAAAUUAAAAAAAAAAAUAUUGGUUUUCAUGGUAGGUCAUUGCUAAUGCUCAAAUACUCCCUGCCUUCUAUCCUGGCUUUCCCCACCCACCCUGCACUGCAGGUCUCAGGGCUUCCCUCUGCUCUGUGCUGCAGGGAUGAGCAAGCCUCUGCUUGGCGGGCAUGGAGGGGCCUGGGCAGUUCAGUGCUCCUUAACAACUGCAGCCGCAGAAGGAAAGGGAGCUUUGCAAACACACAGCAUGCAUCUCACUGCGAGGCAUGCAGACAAGCAGCGUAGCUGGUGUUCAGCCUCAUUGGCCACCGUACAGCUCCCUGAGCAGCCCUACUGUGCCAUGCUGGGCUCACAGGUCCUGCUCAGUGGGCAGUAUGACAGAGAGCUGUGACAUGGAGCACCAACUAGAUGUUUCACACUAAAAGCUGGCUGCUCCAAAACACACUGUGUGAGGUUUUAAUCCCUUCAGCCACAUGCUCCUUUUAUGGGUGAUACCUGCACUCAUGACACUUGCAUCCACUGGGAAGGCACCAACCUGACUUGUGCUUAAGCAGAAAUAUUCUUCCCUGUGCCACCUCAUUGCAGGUGUUCUUGUUGGCCCACACAGCACCUCUGCAGGAUUGCUUACUCAUACACAGCUUCCUCAGGACCGUUGCAACCAAGAGCCAGUACAAGAGCUUUAAGCUACCGAGGCCAAAUACCUAAAGACAAGACACAAAGGGGAGCUUCCUUGGGAUUUACAACACAGCUUUAAGAGGAUUUGGGGGACACACAGCCACACAGUUAUUUAUGUAAACCUAAGUCUAUAUACGUGGAUCAAAAAACUCCACAUACAUGGCAACUACUUUCAUUAUGCCCCAGCACAUUCCAUAUCGUUCAGGUGUUGUUUUCUUUUAGUCAUUUCUUUGAAGACACUUUAAAAAAAAUCAAAGCUAAAUUAAAACAAAACAUAAAACUAUAUGAUAAAAACUGAACAAAUCUAGUGAUACAAAAGUUAUGUUAAAAGCAGAUUUUAAUUGCUGGCGUCCAAUUAAACAAGAGAAGCUACCUUGUAUAGUGACUAUUUUCUACUUCAUUUCUAAGAAUGGACAUAUUUUCAGGAUUUUUUUUUUAUUUCCUAUGGUGUUAAGAAUGUCUGUAUCCAUGCCUGAUAGAGAUUAAAGAAAGCAAAGCAUCAUCUUAAACUUUUGGAUUUGCGGAAACAUGUUUGUUAAUGCACUGAGAAUCUUGAAGGAGUACAGGAGGAUUUCACACAACUAACUGUACUCCUUCUGAUAAUAAAUAAAUAAACGUUGCUAAAACAGUGAUCUGUUGAAUUAAUUUCCUUUAGUUUUACAAUAAAUUCAUCUGUUCCUCAGGUAAUGGGUAGAGGGUGUCUAAAAUUCUUUAAAUACAGGGUUUGUGUUCAGGACUGGAAAGCAGCUGAGUUGGGUUAUCUGUCUGUAGGGAAUUGUCCAUCUGUCUGUAGGGAAUUUAUUUUGGCUUGUUUUUGUUGUACAGCAGCAUUGUGAGGCUAAGUUAGUGCUUUAAUUUUUGUUAAUGCAGGACCAAAGGUCUUUCAGAUGUUUAUGUCUAGUGGCAGCUCGUAUCAUAAAUACUUGCUUCCAGCAUCAUGACUACACAGACUGAGUAAGCCUUCAAUCCAGCAAGGUCCCUCAGACUUGGUGCUUCUUCACAUGCCACACAAAUAUGCUUACUCAGGCAGGAAAAAAAUGCCUAAUUUAUGAGAAGUGUUUUGGUUCAUCAGAUUUGCAAAAGCAGUUUGGUGGUACAGCUGACAUUCAGAUUCCUUCGCAAGAAGAGUUGGAAGGUUGUCCUUUCUGAAAGUCAUGUCCAUGGUGUCUCAAGUUGAUAGCAUGAGCAUGAAAACACCUGCAGUUAGCAGUGGGCCUAUUUCCUACUUCUGUGUGAUUCUUUUGGUCUGCAUGAACAAUAUGAAAAAAUAUUGUUAAAUAUAAGUUGAUCUAAAUAAAUACAAAUAUAUGCUUAUU